UUGACUAUUUGUGAGAAUGAAAUAAAAAAUUUUUCUUAUUCUUUUAAUAAUAUAGAUAAUAAACAAAAAUAGGAUAGUCACGUGUUUAAAACAAUAGAGCGCCCGGAUAAAAUAUUUUUUUCAUCUAAAUAUGGUGAGAUUAGUACGUGGCCUUGAUCAUCUCGAGUGCGUGAUAAAAGCAGCAUUUGGUUUUACAGAAUUUUAGGAAGUAGAAUGAAAGAGCAGUAGCGCGAGCUGAAGGCAGCCGGCGACCUCGCUCUCUCGAUCUAGCGAGUAUAACGCCCGUACCGGCCGCGCCUCCUCUUCCUUUACACCGACACUCGUUCACGGCCCCCCGUUCCACCACGUCUCGGGCUCCCCGAGGCAACCCUCGUCCACCGUCACCAUGUUGGCUCUUUAUGGCUGAUCCACCUAACCAGCAGCAGCAGCUCCACUAAAACUCUGCUCUAAGCAGAAACCAAGUUAAGCCUUCUAGUGUUGAACCUGGUUCGAAUUGUCCAGAAUUCGAAAGUCCAAGGUAAGGUGGGCAUCAGCAGCGACACUCGCUGUAAGAACGAGGACGAGGACGUAAUGUUGAUCGGUGAUGAUGACGACGACGAUAUGACGCACGAGGGAGUGGACAACAAUUAUAGCCAACGCAGUUUAGUUUUUUAAAUCUACAUGAUGAUCAUCAUGAUACAAUUAGCUGAAUAAAUAUCUACGUCUAUAAUUCUAUUAAUUUAAAAUAACAAAAAAAAAUAAUAAUAAUAUUCUAAAUUUAAUUAAUUAAUUAAUUAAUUUUUAAAUAAAUAAUUUACCUUAAAUGGUAGACAAGUUUGUAUUUUAUCAACAAGCUGACGAUUUUUUCCUUCUUGUCCAAAUAUAUCCAUUUUAACCGCAUCAUAAGAUGCACACAGGCGACACAGCUCGUCGUAACGUUCUCUCGACUCCAUCUUCGUAACAACUUGUAACCAACGUGAGUGUUAAUAUUAUUAAUAUUAUUAUCAAUACUUCAAUAAUAUA